rnacentral:rRNA from 1 species
CAAAGUACUUUGAAGAGAGAGUUAAACAGGGCGUGAAACCGCUAGCUGGUAAACGAGUGGAGCCACGAAGUCGUUUCGUAGAAUAAGGGAUACAAAUUCAGUUGGGGUCAUCGCAAGAUGGCUUUAAUGCACUUUUGUUUUUCCCUCUAUGUAUGCGUACACUGCAACCAAUUAGACAAUCAAUUGUGGAAACAAUUAGCUAUUAGCUAUAGGUAGCUUGAUUUAGCCCUUGUGGUUAUCUUGAGUGUAUGAUAUGCUAGUAUGAGAACUACAAUUGAAUACUGAUUGGCACAAUGAAAAUCCAUUUGCAAAAAUGGUAUUUAGAUAACACUACCUGUGUUGUAUGUGUGUACAAGUGUUUAUUAUUAGCGUAAGCUUAGUAGUUUUAAAUUUAGACUAGUAGGCUAUCUUGGAUUUCGGUUCUUGAUGCCUAUUUAGCUUUCUAUCUAAUUGGCUAUUAACUUUGCUAGUAAUGUUAUGCUUGCUAUGUUAGCAUAUAUACGACAAUGGGCAAGUUAUAUUAUUAGCAGUGAGUAGGUCGGCUUUCCACACGACCCGUCUUGAAACACGGACCAAGGAGUCUAGUUAAGUAUCGAGUUGAUCGGUCUUGAUUAGGCCAGAAUGGGAAUUUCUUCCCGAUUGAAAGCAAAGUGAUAUGUGAUCCUCUCCUCCAAAAAGGACUAGGCGCAACAUAUACCCACUCGUAUAACUAUACGCGCAAGUGUAGUUGGUGGAGUAAAGAGAUACUUGACUGGUACCCGAAAGAUGGUGAGCCUGGGCAAAUUGAAGCCAGAGGAAACUCUGGUGGAGGAUUGUAGCGAUUCUGACGUGCAAAUCGAUCGUCAGACCUGGGUAUAGGGGCGAAAGACUAAUCGAACCAUC